AGAUUAAGUUUGCGAUUUUGUGGCGGUCGCAUGCGGCCCGGCAUUCGUGUCGGUGUUUGCUCGCGUCGCCAUCCUUGGGUGGAACCUGUGUGGCAUUAGGUUGUCGUGCAGGGGAUGCCCAUCAUUUACUGUGAAAAAAUUCAGAGUGUUCAAAGCAGGCUUACGCCGUUGAAUAUAUUAGCACGGAAUAAUAAGAUAGGACCUUC
rnacentral:rRNA from 1 species